rnacentral:rRNA from 1 species
ACUCCUACGGGAGGCAGCAGUGGGGAAUUUUGGACAAUGGGCGAAAGCCUGAUCCAGCCAUGCCGCGUGCAGGAUGAAGGCCUUCGGGUUGUAAACUGCUUUUGUACGGAACGAAACGGCCUUUUCUAAUAAAGAGGGCUAAUGACGGUACCGUAAGAAUAAGCACCGGCUAACUACGUGCCAGCAGCCGCGGUAAUACGUAGGGUGCAAGCGUUAAUCGGAAUUACUGGGCGUAAAGCGUGCGCAGGCGGUUAUGUAAGACAGUUGUGAAAUCCCCGGGCUCAACCUGGGAACUGCAUCUGUGACUGCAUAGCUAGAGUACGGUAGAGGGGGAUGGAAUUCCGCGUGUAGCAGUGAAAUGCGUAGAUAUGCGGAGGAACACCGAUGGCGAAGGCAAUCCCCUGGACCUGUACUGACGCUCAUGCACGAAAGCGUGGGGAGCAAACAGGAUUAGAAACCCUUGUAGUCCCAUGA